GUAAAGGCGAUGAAGGACGUACUAGACUGCGAUAAGCUACGGGGAGCUGUCAAGAAGCUUUGAUCCGUAGAUUUCCGAAUGGGGCAACCCAAUGUAUAGAGAUAUACAUUACCUAUAUAGGAGCGAACGAGGGGAAUUGAAACAUCUUAGUACCCUCAGGAAAAGAAAUCAAUAGAGAUUGCGUCAGUAGCGGCGAGCGAAAGCGCAAGAGGGCAAACCCAGUGCUUGCACUGGGGGUUGUAGGACUGCAAUGUGCAAGAGGUAAGUUUAGCAGAACAUUCUGGAAAGUAUAACCAUAGAGGGUGAUAGUCCCGUAUGCGAAAAACAAACCUUAGCUAGCAGUAUCCUGAGUAGGGCGGGACACGAGGAAUCCUGUCUGAAUCCGGGUCGACCACGAUCCAACCCUAAAUACUAAUACCAGAUCGAUAGUGCACAAGUACCGUGAGGGAAAGGUGAAAAGAACUGAGGUGAUCAGAGUGAAAUAGAACCUGAAACCAUUUGCUUACAAUCAUUCAGAGCCCUAUGUAGCAAUACAGGGUGAUGGACUGCCUUUUGCAUAAUGAGCCUGCGAGUUGUGGUGUCUGGCAAGGUUAAGCAAACGCGAAGCCGUAGCGAAAGCGAGUCUGAAUAGGGCGCUUAGUCAGAUGCUGCAGACCCGAAACGAAGUGAUCUAUCCAUGAGCAAGUUGAAGCUAGUGUAAGAACUAGUGGAGGACUGAACCCAUAGGCGUUGAAAAGCCCCGGGAUGACUUGUGGAUAGGGGUGAAAGGCCAAUCAAACUUCGUGAUAGCUGGUUCUCUCCGAAAUAUAUUUAGGUAUAGCGUUGUGUCGUAAUAUAAGGGGGUAGAGCACUGAAUGGGCUAGGGCAUACACCAAUGUACCAAACCCUAUCAAACUCCGAAUACCUUAUAUGUAAUCACAGCAGUCAGGCGGCGAGUGAUAAAAUCCGUCGUCAAGAGGGAAACAACCCAGACUACCAGCUAAGGUCCCUAAAUCUUACUUAAGUGGAAAACGAUGUGAAGUUACUUAAACAACCAGGAGGUUGGCUUAGAAGCAGCCAUCCUUUAAAGAAAGCGUAAUAGCUCACUGGUCUAGUGAUUUUGCGCGGAAAAUAUAACGGGGCUAAAGUAAGUACCGAAGCUGUAGACUUGCACACAACUUAGAUUAUUUAAGUUUAGAAUAUGAGAAACUAAGUUAUAUGUUUAGUUAUAUUUUUACUGAUUUUUAUAGAGUAAAGAUAGAAAUAAAACUUAGUAAAAUCAGUAAAAAUAUUCUUAGACUAAAGUUAAGUAGUUUAAGUUGUGUGCAAGUGGUAGGAGAGCGUUCUAUUUGCGUCGAAGGUAUACCGGUAAGGAGUGCUGGAGCGAAUAGAAGUGAGCAUGCAGGCAUGAGUAGCGAUAAUUAAUGUGAGAAUCAUUAACGCCGUAAACCCAAGGUUUCCUACGCGAUGCUCGUCAUCGUAGGGUUAGUCGGGUCCUAAGUCGAGUCCGAAAGGGGUAGACGAUGGCAAAUUGGUUAAUAUUCCAAUACCAACAUUAGUGUGCGAUGGAAGGACGCUUAGGGCUAAGGGGGCUAGCGGAUGGAAGUGCUAGUCUAAGGUCGUAGGAGGUUAUACAGGCAAAUCCGUAUAACAAUACUCCGAGAACUGAAAGGCUUUUUGAAGUCUUCGGAUGGAUAGAAGAACCCCUGAUGCCGUCGAGCCAAGAAAAGUUUCUAAGUUUAGCUAAUGUUGCCCGUACCGUAAACCGACACAGGUGGGUGGGAUGAGUAUUCUAAGGCGCGUGGAAGAACUCUCUUUAAGGAACUCUGCAAAAUAGCACCGUAUCUUCGGUAUAAGGUGUGGUUAGCUUUGUAUUAGGAUUUACUCCGAAAGCAAGGAAACUUACAACAAAGAGUCCCUCCCGACUGUUUACCAAAAACACAGCACUCUGCUAACUCGUAAGAGGAUGUAUAGGGUGUGACGCCUGCCCGGUGCUCGAAGGUUAAUUGAUGGGGUUAGCAUUAGCGAAGCUCUUGAUCGAAGCCCGAGUAAACGGCGGCCGUAACUAUAACGGUCCUAAGGUAGCGAAAUUCCUUGUCGGUUAAAUACCGACCUGCAUGAAUGGCGUAACGAGAUGGGAGCUGUCUCAAAGAGGGAUCCAGUGAAAUUGUAGUGGAGGUGAAAAUUCCUCCUACCCGCGGCAAGACGGAAAGACCCCGUGGACCUUUACUACAGCUUGACACUGCUACUUGGAUAAGAAUGUGCAGGAUAGGUGGGAGGCUUUGAGUAUAUGACGCCAGUUGUAUAUGAGCCAUUGUUGAGAUACCACUCUUUCUUAUUUGGGUAGCUAACCAGCUUGAGUUAUCCUCAAGUGGGACAAUGUCUGGUGGGUAGUUUGACUGGGGCGGUCGCCUCCCAAAUAAUAACGGAGGCUUACAAAGGUUGGCUCAGAACGGUUGGAAAUCGUUCGUAGAGUAUAAAGGUAUAAGCCAGCUUAACUGCAAGACAUACAAGUCAAGCAGAGACGAAAGUCGGUCUUAGUGAUCCGGUGGUUCUGUGUGGAAGGGCCAUCGCUCAAAGGAUAAAAGGUACCCCGGGGAUAACAGGCUGAUCUCCCCCAAGAGCUCACAUCGACGGGGAGGUUUGGCACCUCGAUGUCGGCUCAUCGCAUCCUGGGGCUGGAGCAGGUCCCAAGGGUAUGGCUGUUCGCCAUUUAAAGCGGUACGCGAGCUGGGUUCAGAACGUCGUGAGACAGUUCGGUCCCUAUCUGCCGUGGGCGUAAGAAGAUUGAAGAGAUUUGACCCUAGUACGAGAGGACCGGGUUGAACAAACCACUGGUGUAGCUGUUGUUCUGCCAAGAGCAUCGCAGCGUAGCUAAGUUUGGAAAGGAUAAACGCUGAAAGCAUCUAAGCGUGAAGCCAACUCUAAGAUGAAUCUUCUCUAAGCUCUCUAGAAGACUACUAGUUUGAUAGGCUGGGUGUGUAAUGGAUGAAAGUCCUUUAGCUGACCAGUACUAAUAGAGCGUUUGGCUUAUCUUUAAUAAAGCAU
rnacentral:rRNA from 1 species